AUUCAACCCAAAAAGUUGGUGUGCAAAACAAUCCUAUGCAAAUAUUCACCUAUCCCUCAAUACUCUCCUUUCCAUUCAAUCCUUCCUUGAAAUCUUGCGAGAUCACCGAUCUGCAUUAACUGAUUGCAUGGAGCAUGCGCGGGAAUCAGAUUCUGUUGCAUACUCUGGGCAGAAGAAGGCGGCGGUGACGUAACAUUCUCUAUUAAGAGAUGCUGACUGGUGCAGAGCGGUGAUUUGCUGUACGUGAAAGAUGGCCUCUUAUGUGAUUAUUAAGCACUGGAGUGGCUGAGAUCAUCAAGUUUUGAUUAUCUCAGCCAGGGAGGCAAGGCAGCCUCAUGGAGGCUGGUGGCUACGGCUAAGAGGCGAG